rnacentral:rRNA from 1 species
AUUGAACGCUGGCGGCAGGCUUAACACAUGCAAGUCGAGCGGAGAUGAGGUGCUUGCACCUUAUCUUAGCGGCGGACGGGUGAGUAAUGCUUAGGAAUCUGCCUAUUAGUGGGGGACAACAUUCCGAAAGGAAUGCUAAUACCGCAUACGUCCUACGGGAGAAAGCAGGGGAUCUUCGGACCUUGCGCUAAUAGAUGAGCCUAAGUCGGAUUAGCUAGUUGGUGGGGUAAAGGCCUACCAAGGCGACGAUCUGUAGCGGGUCUGAGAGGAUGAUCCGCCACAAUGGGACUGAGACACGGCCCAGACUCCUACGGGAGGCAGGAGUGGGGAAUAUUGGACAAUGGGGGGAACCCUGAUCCAGCCAUGCCGCGUGUGUGAAGAAGGCCUCAAGGUUGUAAAGCACUUUAAGCGAGGAGGAGGCUACUGAGACUAAUACUCUUGGAUAGUGACGUUACUCGCAGAAUAAGCACCGGCUAACUCUGUGCCAGCAGCCGCAGUAAAAC